rnacentral:ncRNA from 1 species
CUGGAGGAAAUAGUUCAGGGUUUUGGGGUGGCGGUACCUCUAUGACAGGUCACGGUUAUCGGGUCCACGCAAAAUGCAGAGAACAGCAAUAUACCUCCAUGACGUCGGGGUUGCCGGCCUUGCCCAGGCCGGAGAUGAGCCCGCCCUUCAUGCCCACGUCCGCUUUGAAGAUGCCCGUGUGGUCCAGCACGAGAGCGUUGGUGAUGACGGUCUCCAGCGCUUCCGCGGCCCCCACGCCGGUGGCCUGCCCCAUCCCCUCCCUCAG